UCCGGGUUGGUCCCGGCGGUCCGGCCAGACGUAGUAACUGGCCGCGGGGGUUGCGCUCGUUGCGGGACUUAACCCAACACCUCACGGCACGAGCUGACGACAGCCGUGCAGCACCUGUGCACGCUCCCUUGCGGGUCCCUUCCGUUUCCGGUCGGUACCACGUGCAUGUCAAGCCCGGGUAAGGUUCUUCGCGUUGCAUCGAAUUAAACCACACGCUCCGCUGCUUGUGCGGGCCCCCGUCAAUUCCUUUGAGUUUUAGCCUUGCGGCCGUAGUCCCCAGGCGGGGUGCUUACUGCGUGAGCGACGGCACCGGGGGGGUCGAUACCCCCGACACCUAGCACCCAUCGUUUACGGCGUGGACUAC
rnacentral:misc_RNA from 1 species